rnacentral:rRNA from 1 species
CCUACGGGUGGCUGCAGUGAGGAAUAUUGGUCAAUGGGCGUAAGCCUGAACCAGCCAAGUCGCGUGAGGGAUGAAGGUUCUAUGGAUCGUAAACCUCUUUUAUAAGGGAAUAAAGUGUGGGACGUGUCCUAUUUUGUAUGUACCUUAUGAAUAAGGAUCGGCUAACUCCGUGCCAGCAGCCGCGGUAAUACGGAGGAUCCGAGCGUUAUCCGGAUUUAUUGGGUUUAAAGGGUGGGUAGGCGGCCUUUUAAGUCAGCGGUGAAAGUCUGUGGCUCAACCAGAGAAUUGCCGUUGAAAAUGGGGGGCUUGAGUAGGUUUGAGGCAGGCGGAAUGCGUGGUGUAGCGGUGAAAUGCUUAGAGAUCACGCAGAACCCCGAUUGCGAAGGCAGCCUGCCAAGCCAUGACUGACGCUGAUGCACGAAAGCGUGGGGAUCAAACAGGAUUAGAUACCCCAGUAGUC